UACGUACGAGGCGAGCGUUAUCCGGAAUUACUGGGCGUAAAGCGCGCGCAGGUGGCCUGCUAAGUCAGAUGUGAAAUCUCCCGGCCCAACUGGGAGCGGCCAUUUGAUACUGGUGAGCUUGAGGGCAGCAGAGGUCGGUGGAAUUCCUGGUGUAGUGGUGAAAUGCGUAGAGAUCAGGAGGAACACCGGUGGCGAAGGCGGCCGACUGGGCUGCCUCUGACGCUGAGGCGCGAAAGCUCGGGGAGCGAACGGGAUUAGAUACCCCGGUAGUCCGAGCCGUAAACGAUGGGUACUAGGUGUUCGUGGUAUCGACCCCACGGGUGCCGCAGCUAACGCGAUAAGUACCCCGCCUGGGGAGUACGGCCGCAAGGUUAAA
rnacentral:rRNA from 1 species